GACGAACGCUGGCGGCGUGCCUAACACAUGCAAGUCGAGCGAACAGACGUGGAUUUUGCUCCUCUUUCGUUAGCCGCGAACGGGUAAGUAACACGUGGCUAGCCUGUCUUUUAGCCCCGGAUAACUUCUGAACACCGGAGCUAAUAUCUGAUUAUCUAUUGAACCGCAUGGUUCAAUAGUUGAUGGCGGAUUUUCUUUCACUUGUAGAUGGUUCCGCGCCGCAUUAGCUAGUUGGUAAGGUAACGGCGUACUAAGACAACGAUGCGUAGCCGACCUCAGAGGGUGAGCGGCCACACUGAAACUGAGACACGGACCAGACCCCUACGGGAGGGAGCGGUAGGGAUUCUGAAGCAAUGGGCGAGAGCUGGACGGAGCAGCGCCGCGGGAGUGAUGAAGGUCUUCGGAUCGUAAUACUCUGUUAUUAGGGAAGAACAAAUGUGUAAGUAGCUAUGCGCGUCUUGACGGUACCGAAACAAGAAGCCACGGCUAACUACGUG
rnacentral:rRNA from 1 species